rnacentral:rRNA from 1 species
GGGAGAGCUCAAAUUUGAAAUCUGGCACUCUAAGAUUGUCAGAGUUGUACUCUAGAAAAGCGUUUUCCGCGUAAGCCUGUGUACAACUCCCUUGGAAUAGGGCGUCAUAGAGGGUGACAAUCCCGUCCUUGACACUGAUCAUCUAUGCUCUGCGAUGCGCUCUCGAAUAGUCGAGUUGUUUGGGAAUGCAGCUCAAAAUGGGUGGUAAAUUCCAUCUAAAGCUAAAUAUUGGCGAAAGACCGAUAGCGAACAAGUACCGUGAGGGAAAGAUGAAAAGCACUUUGGAAAGAGAGUUAAACAGUACGUGAAAUUGUUGAAAGGGAAACGAUUGAAGUCAGUCAUGUGGUUUGAGGUUCACCCGGUUCUGCCGUUGUAUUCCUCAAACUACAGGCCAUCAUCAAUUUCGAGCGGGGGAAAAAAUUGGAGGGAACGUGGCAUCCUCGGAUGUGUUAUAACCCUCUUU